GAUGAACGCUAGCGGCAGGCUUAAUACAUGCAAGUCGAGGGGCAGCAUGAUUGUAGCAAUACAAUUGAUGGCGACCGGCAAACGGGUGCGGAACACGUACACAACCUUCCAACAAGUGGGGGAUAGCCCAGAGAAAUUUGGAUUAAUACCCCGUAACAUAGCGAUGUGGCAUCAGAUUGCUAUUAUAGAUUUUUCGCUUGUUGAUGGGUGUGCGGCUGAUUAGAUAGUUGGCGUGGUAACGGCCCACCAAGUCUACGAUCAGUAGCUGAUGUGAGAGCAUGAUCAGCCACACGGGCACUGAGACACGGGCCCGACUCCUACGGGAGGCAGCAGUAAGGAAUAUUGGACAAUGGACGCAAGUCUGAUCCAGCCAUGCCGCGUGAAGGAUUAAGGUCCUCUGGAUUGUAAACUUCUUUUAUAAGGGACGAAAAAAGGCUUUUCUAAGUCGUCUGACGGUACCUUAUGAAUAAGCACCGGCUAACUACGUGCCAGCCGCCGCUGUAACAC
rnacentral:rRNA from 1 species